CCCCUCGCGGCCUCUCCUCCGGCUCAGCCCCCGCCGCAGCCUGCCGCGCCCCUCUGCUGGUGACGGGGAGCCCGCGCUGCCCCCCCCCCCCCAGGCUCAUCAGCGUGUCCUCGGCACCCCUGGGGGCGCCUCAGCCCAGCCCCUGGGGACAGAGGCGAGGAGGGGCCGGUGCGGAGCUGGAGCCGCCGCCCCCCCCCCCACAUGCGCCCUCAGCACGCGCGGGGUGGGGGAGGCGCAGCCCGGAGCCGGGGCGGGAGCCGAGCCGGCCGGGGGCUGUUUACUGCUGCGGUUUGCAAUGGGCAUGAAAGCCCGCUGCGUGUGUCCUCCCGUCCAUCCCCUGGCCAAGCACAGCGGGGGCAGCCCCGCCGACACACACUUGCAGUCAUGAGACUUGCUUGGAGGUGGUGUUUACACUGCGUCUUCGGGGAUGGGGAGGGGUGACGUGCGAAGGUUUGAAGUCCAGCUGUGCGAACAUAGGACACGCAAACUCCUGUGAGGAAGCCCUCUAAUUUUUAACCCCAGGUAGGUCUACCAACUUGGAGCUGUUCUAAUAUGCCCCAGAAGGCUUUGCUCCUGUAAGUUAUAUCGGGAGAAGCAUCCAAGACUUUCUGCACAGUAUCAGAACCAUUGCAGUCCAGUAGCUGCAUGUGUUUCAAGGAUCACAGGAUCUUCUCCUUCCCAGAGGCUAGCGAAAAUUAGAAGGCAAAAAAACCGCACUCGCAAUGAAAUGUUCUCUGAGCUCAUGCUGUCCUCCCACACUGACAGAGCACAGACGAAUGCGUGGAGGCAGACAAUGUCAGAGUGCAGGAAAGCACAAAGUGACCAGAAGGAGAGGUGGUGGGCUGAAGAAGUGGCGGGCUGAAGAGAGGGCUGAAGCUGAAAGGUGGUGGCAGCGUGAUGAGAGGAGGCAGGAUUCAAUGCUGAGGCUGCUGGAGGAUCAAACUAAUAUGCUCCAGCGUAUGGUUGAGCUGCAGGAAAGGCAGCAGGAGCACAGACCGCCGCUACAGCCCCUGUGUAACCAACCGCCCUCCUCCCCAAGUUCCGUAGCCUCCUCACCCAGACGCCCAAGAACGCGGUGGGGGGGCAUCCGGCCACCCAGCCACUCCACCCCAGAGGAUUGCCCAAGCAAUAGAAGGCUGGCAUUCAAUAAGUUUUAAAGUUUUAAACUUUUAAAGUGCUGUGUGGCCUUGUCCUUCCCUCCUCCCCCACCCCUCCUGUGCUACCUUGGCAGUUAUCCCCCUAUUUGUGUGAUGAAUUAAUAAAGAAUGCAUGAAUGUGAAGCAACAAUGACUUUAUUGCCUCUGCAAGCGGUGAUCGAAG